GGUUAAGCGACUAAGCGUACACGGUGGAUGCCCUGGCAGUCAGAGGCGAUGAAGGACGUGCUAAUCUGCGAAAAGCGUCGGUAAGGUGAUAUGAACCGUUACAGCCGGCGAUGUCCGAAUGGGGAAACCCAGUGCAAUUCGUUGCACUAUCGUUAACUGAAUACAUAGGUUAACGAGGCGAACCGGGGGAACUGAAACAUCUAAGUACCCCGAGGAAAAGAAAUCAACCGAGAUUCCCCCAGUAGCGGCGAGCGAACGGGGAGCAGCCCGGAGUCUGAAUCAGCUUGUGUGUUAGUGGAAGCGUCUGGAAAGUCGCAGGGUACAGGGUGAUACUCCCGUACACUAAAACACACAGGCUGUGAACUCGAAGAGUAGGGCGGGACACGUGGUAUCCUGUCUGAAUAUGGGGGGACCAUCCUCCAAGGCUAAAUACUCCUGACUGACCGAUAGUGAACCAGUACCGUGAGGGAAAGGCGAAAAGAACCCCGGCGAGGGGAGUGAAAAAGAACCUGAAACCGUGUACGUACAAGCAGUAGGAGCCCACUAGUUGGGUGACUGCGUACCUUUUGUAUAAUGGGUCAGCGACUUAUAUUCUGUAGCAAGGUUAACCGUAUAGGGGAGCCGCAGGGAAACCGAGUCUUAACUGGGCGUUAAGUUGCAGGGUAUAGACCCGAAACCCGGUGAUCUAGCCAUGGGCAGGUUGAAGGUUGGGUAACACUAACUGGAGGACCGAACCGACUAAUGUUGAAAAAUUAGCGGAUGACUUGUGGCUGGGGGUGAAAGGCCAAUCAAACCGGGAGAUAGCUGGUUCUCCCCGAAAGCUAUUUAGGUAGCGCCUCGUGAACUCAUCUUCGGGGGUAGAGCACUGUUUCGGCUAGGGGGUCAUCCCGACUUACCAACCCGAUGCAAACUACGAAUACCGAAGAAUGUUAUCACGGGAGACACACGGCGGGUGCUAACGUCCGUCGUGAAGAGGGAAACAACCCAGACCGCCAGCUAAGGUCCCAAAGUCAUGGUUAAGUGGGAAACGAUGUGGGAAGGCCCAGACAGCCAGGAUGUUGGCUUAGAAGCAGCCAUCAUUUAAAGAAAGCGUAAUAGCUCACUGGUCGAGUCGGCCUGCGCGGAAGAUGUAACGGGGCUAAACCAUGCACCGAAGCUGCGGCAGCGACACUAUGUGUUGUUGGGUAGGGGAGCGUUCUGUAAGCCGUUGAAGGUGGCCUGUGAGGGUUGCUGGAGGUAUCAGAAGUGCGAAUGCUGACAUAAGUAACGAUAAUGCGGGUGAAAAACCCGCACGCCGGAAGACCAAGGGUUCCUGUCCAACGUUAAUCGGGGCAGGGUGAGUCGACCCCUAAGGCGAGGCCGAAAGGCGUAGUCGAUGGGAAACAGGUUAAUAUUCCUGUACUUGGUGUUACUGCGAAGGGGGGACGGAGAAGGCUAUGUUGGCCGGGCGACGGUUGUCCCGGUUUAAGCAUGUAGGCGGAUGUUCCAGGUAAAUCCGGAGCGUCACUAACGCUGAGGUGUGAUGACGAGGCACUACGGUGCUGAAGUGACAAAUGCCCUGCUUCCAGGAAAAGCCUCUAAGCAUCAGGUAACAUCAAAUCGUACCCCAAACCGACACAGGUGGUCAGGUAGAGAAUACCAAGGCGCUUGAGAGAACUCGGGUGAAGGAACUAGGCAAAAUGGUGCCGUAACUUCGGGAGAAGGCACGCUGAUGGUAGGUGAAGUGACUUGCUCAUGGAGCUGAAAUCAGUCGAAGAUACCAGCUGGCUGCAACUGUUUAUUAAAAACACAGCACUGUGCAAACACGAAAGUGGACGUAUACGGUGUGACGCCUGCCCGGUGCCGGAAGGUUAAUUGAUGGGGUUAUCCUCGCGGAGAAGCUCUUGAUCGAAGCCCCGGUAAACGGCGGCCGUAACUAUAACGGUCCUAAGGUAGCGAAAUUCCUUGUCGGGUAAGUUCCGACCUGCACGAAUGGCGUAAUGAUGGCCAGGCUGUCUCCACCCGAGACUCAGUGAAAUUGAACUCGCUGUGAAGAUGCAGUGUACCCGCGGCAAGACGGAAAGACCCCGUGAACCUUUACUAUAGCUUGACACUGAACACUGGUCCUUGAUGUGUAGGAUAGGUGGGAGGCUUUGAAGUGUGGACGCCAGUCUGCAUGGAGCCAUCCUUGAAAUACCACCCUUUAAUGGCUGGUGUUCUAACGUGGGCCCGUGAUCCGGGUUGCGGACAGUGUCUGGUGGGUAGUUUGACUGGGGCGGUCUCCUCCUAAAGAGUAACGGAGGAGCACGAAGGUCAGCUAAUCCUGGUCGGACAUCAGGAGGUUAGUGCAAUGGCAUAAGCUGGCUUGACUGCGAGCGUGACGGCGCGAGCAGGUGCGAAAGCAGGUCAUAGUGAUCCGGUGGUUCUGAAUGGAAGGGCCAUCGCUCAACGGAUAAAAGGUACUCCGGGGAUAACAGGCUGAUACCGCCCAAGAGUUCAUAUCGACGGCGGUGUUUGGCACCUCGAUGUCGGCUCAUCACAUCCUGGGGCUGAAGUAGGUCCCAAGGGUAUGGCUGUUCGCCAUUUAAAGUGGUACGCGAGCUGGGUUUAGAACGUCGUGAGACAGUUCGGUCCCUAUCUGCCGUGGGCGCUGGAGAAUUGAGGGGGGCUGCUCCUAGUACGAGAGGACCGGAGUGGACGCAUCACUGGUGUUCGGGUUGUCAUGCCAAUGGCAUUGCCCGGUAGCUAAAUGCGGAAGAGAUAAGUGCUGAAAGCAUCUAAGCACGAAACUUGCCCCGAGAUGAGUUCUCCCUGACUCCUUGAGAGUCCUGAAGGAACGUUGAAGACGACGACGUUGAUAGGCCGGGUGUGUAAGCGCAGCGAUGCGUUGAGCUAACCGGUACUAAUGAACCGUGAGGCUUAACCUU
rnacentral:rRNA from 1 species